AGCGGGAUAAUGGUUCACCGCUUACAUUUUUCUUUGAAGAAUACUUCGAAGAAAAUUCGAUGUAGAAUUCUUCGAUACCUGGUAAUGCAUAAAAGUAAGCUAUGCGGAACUUCGCUUACAUUUUUCUUGAAGAAUACUUCGAAGAAAAUUCUAUGUAGAAUUCUUCGAUACCAGGUAAUGCAUAAAAGUAAGCUAUACGGCUAAAUUCUACUGUGUUCAUAUUUACAAAUCAAGUAAGUACAUGAAAAACGACAAAUACAAAUUGAUGGAAUAAAA